rnacentral:rRNA from 1 species
UGAGUACGAGAUGCUACGGCAUCGAAGCAGUCUAUGUCAUACUUCCAAGAAAAGCUUGCAAUGUCAUAAACAAAUAAUGCCUGUACCAUAACCGACACAGGUGGGUAGGUAGAGUAUACUAAGGGGCGCGAGAUAACUCUCUCUAAGGAACUCGGCAAAAUGACUCCGUAACUUCGGGAGAAGGAGUGCCUUAUUUUUAUAAGGUUGCAAUAACAAGAUCCAAGCAACUGUUUACCAAAAACACAGGUCUCCGCUAAGUCGUAAGACGAUGUAUGGGGGCUGACGCCUGCCCAGUGCCAGAAGGUUAAAGAAGUUGGUUAGCAUUAGCGAAGCUGAUAACUGAAGCCCUGGUGAACGGCGGCCGUAACUAUAACGGUCCUAAGGUAGCGAAAUUCCUCGUCGGGUAAGUUCCGACCCGCACGAAAGGCGUAAUGAUUUGGAUACUGUCUCGGAGAGGGGCUCGGUGAAAUAGACUUGUCUGUGAAGAUGCGGACUACCUGCACCUGGACAGAAAGACCCUAUGAAGCUUUACUGUAACUUGAGAUUGAAAUUGGACUUUAUCUGCGCAGUAUAGGUGGGAGACGUUGAAAAUAUUCUUGCGGGAAUAUUGGAGUCAUCAGUGAGAUACCACUCUUAUAAUGUUAGAUUUCUAACUUUGUAUCAUUAUCUGGUCAAAGAACAGUUUCAGGCGGGCAGUUUGACUGGGGCGGUCGCCUCCCAAACGGUAACGGAGGCGCACAAAGGUUUCCUCUGAAUGUGUAGAAAUCGUAUCUAGAGUGUAAAGGCAUAAGGAAGCUUGACUGUGAGACCUACAAGUCGAGCAGGGACGAAAGUCGGUCUUAGUGAUCUGACGGUGCUGAGUGGAAAGGCCGUCACUCAACGGAUAAAUGUUACUCUAGGGAUAACAGGCUGAUCUCCCCCAAGAGUUCACAUCGACGGGGAGGUUUGGCACCUCGAUGUCGGCUCAUCGCAUCCUGGGGCGGUAGUACGUCCCAAGGGUUGGGCUGUUCGCCCAUGAAAGCGGUACGCGAGCUGGGUUCAGAACGUCGUGAGACAGUUCGGUCCAUAUCCGGUGUAGGCGUUAGAAUAUUGAGAGGAGCCUUCUUUAGUACGAGAGGACCGAGAAGGACAUACCUCUGGUGUACCAGUUAUCGUGCCAACGGUAAACGCUGGGUAGCCAUGUAUGGAGAGGAUAACCGCUGAAAGCAUCUAAGUGGGAAGCCCACCUCAAGAUAAGUAUUCC